AUCCAUCUGACGAGUCCCAAAUGCGACGAACCGCACGUCCUGGAU
rnacentral:hammerhead_ribozyme from 2 species